rnacentral:rRNA from 1 species
ACGAGCGCAACCCUUGUCCUAUGUUGCCAGCGCGUAAUGGCGGGGACUCGUGGGAGACUGCCGGCGACAAGUCGGAGGAAGGUGGGGACGACGUCAAGUCAUCAUGCCCCUUAUGCCCAGGGCUGCAAACAUGCUACAAUGGCCGGUACAAAGGGCUGCGAAACCGUGAGGUCAAGCGAAUCCCAUAAAGCCGGUCUCAGUUCGGAUUGGAGUCUGCAACUCGACUCCAUGAAGCCGGAGUCGCUAGUAAUCCCGGAUCAGCAACGCCGGGGUGAAUACUUUCCCGGGCCUUGCACACACCNCCCGU